UCUGUCGUGGUGCAGUGGUAGCAUACUGAAUCUCACAAGCAAGCCACCGCGCAACAAGUUGACACCGAGUUGACACCGCAAGGGGUGAGGUGACAGAGACCCAGAGUUCGAAACCUGGCGACAGAA